ensembl:lncRNA
GGCAGCUUGGCCUCCAUGCACUGUGAUUCCUGAGGGGGCGAGUUCACGAUAGCGCAGGUCUCGCGAGAGCCGCCGCCGGCCUCGUCUGUGUUAUAGCAGUUGCCGUACAUGUCUCGUUGAUUUUGACUGGUUUUUUGGGUCUCUCAGGAUCCGUGGGUUUCUGUCAAGUUACAGCCUCAAUCUGACCCAUGUUGUGUCGGUCUCCCCAGUGACGCAGCACUGCGGUUGGUCGUCUCCGUGCUGGAGGCUGAGGUCGAGACCCGGGUGCAGGCAGUUCAGCCCAUAACACCUGUGGUGCUGGCGAUGAAAGGGUAGAUGUGAAUUUUUAGAGCCUUUUCCUGGUGGCUCAGACGGUAAAGAAUCAGCCUGAGAUGCAGGAGAUCUGGGUUCGAUCCUUGGGUUGGGAAGAGCCCCUGGAGAAGGGAAUGGCAACCCACUCCGGUAUUCUCGGCUGGAGAAUUACAUGGACAGAGGAGCCUGGCUGGCUACAAGCCCAUGCGGUUACAAAAGGUCAGACAGGACUGAGUGACUAACACUUAGCAGGAAGCACCAGGGCAUGAUUUCCAAUCUUCCCUGUGUACCAGAAUGCCAGAGGUGGUUGAGUACUGAGGUCAUACUUGGACUCUUCCCCCAAGACUAAUACUUUGUUCUCACUAAGUUCUUGGCUGGGAAAUAUUGAGAGCAGGAGGUGAAGGGUGCAGUAGAGGAUGAGACGGUUGGAUGGCAUCAUUGACUCAACGGACAUGAGGUUGAGCAAACUCCGGGAGAUAGUGAAGGACAGGGAAGCCUGGCAUGCUGUAGUCAAUGGGUUGCAAAGAGUCUGACAUGAAUGAGCGGCUGAACAAUGAUAAGUUCUUGGCCCUGGGAUAAACUAGUUUAGUCAGUGAAGGGCGGCAGUACUUGCGUUUCUGCUGGUGCAGCCUUGGUUCGAGCUUACCUGUACGUCUAAUAGGGUCUGGUCGUCUUGCCCAGGGCCUCACCCAGGUGCAGACUGAUGCUUCCUACCUAGG